rnacentral:rRNA from 1 species
AUUGAACGCUGGCGGCAUGCCUUACACAUGCAAGUCGAACGGCAGCACGGGUGCUUGCACCUGGUGGCGAGUGGCGAACGGGUGAGUAAUAUAUCGGAACGUACCUUAUUGUGGGGGAUAACGCAGCGAAAGCUGUGCUAAUACCGCAUAAUCCCUAGGGGGGAAAGCGGGGGACCGUAAGGCCUCGCGCAAUUAGAGCGGCCGAUACCUGAUUAGCUAGUUGGUGAGGUAAAGGCUCACCAAGGCAACGAUCAGUAGCUGGUCUGAGAGGACGAUCAGCCACACUGGGACUGAGACACGGCCCAGACUCCUACGGGAGGCAGCAGUGGGGAAUUUUGGACAAUGGGGGCAACCCUGAUCCAGCAAUGCCGCGUGAGUGAAGAAGGCCUUCGGGUUGUAAAGCUCUUUUGUCAGGGAAGAAACAGCAGCUCUAACACAGUUUGCGAAUGACGGUACCUGAAGAAUAAGCACCGGCUAACUACGUGCCAGCAGCCGCGGUAA